rnacentral:rRNA from 1 species
GAUGUAUAGGAGCUGACGCCUGCCCGGUGCUGGAAGGUUAAGGGGAUCUGUUAGAGCAAUCGAAGCAGUGAACUUAAGCCCCAGUAAACGGCGGCCGUAACUAUAACGGUCCUAAGGUAGCGAAAUUCCUUGUCGGGUAAGUUCCGACCCGCACGAAAGGCGUAACGAUUUGGGCACUGUCUCAACAACAGACUCGGUGAAAUUGUAAUUCCGGUGAAGAUGCCGGAUACCUGCGACAGGACGGAAAGACCCCAUGGAGCUUUACUGUAGCUUGACAUUGGGUCUUGGUACUACAUGUACAGGAUAGGUGGGAGGCUUUGAAACCAGGACGCCAGUUUUGGCGGAGCCAUCCUUGGGAUACCACCCUUGUAGUACUGGGACUCUAACCAUAGGCCAUGAAUCUGGUCUUGGGACACUGUCAGGUGGGCAGUUUGACUGGGGCGGUCGCCUCCCAAAAGGUAACGGAGGCGCUCAAAGGUUCUCUCAGUACGGUCGGAAAUCGUACGUAGAGUGUAAAGGCAAAAGAGAGCUUGAUUGCAAGACAUACAGGUCGAGCAAGGAUGAAAAUCGGACUUAGUGAUCCGGUGGUUCUGCGUGGAAGGGCCAUCGCUCAACGGAUAAAAGCUACCCUGGGGAUAACAGGCUUAUCUCCCCCAAGAGUCCACAUCGACGGGGAGGUUUGGCACCUCGAUGUCGGCUCAUCACAUCCUGGGGCUGUAGUAGGUCCCAAGGGUUGGGCUGUUCGCCCAUUAAAGUGGUACGCGAGCUGGGUUCAGAACGUCGUGAGACAGUUCGGUCCCUAUCCGUCGCAGGCGUAGGAAAUUUGAGAAGACCUGUCCUUAGUACGAGAGGACCGGGAUGGACGUACCUCUGGUGUACCAGUUGUCCUGCCAAGGGCAUGGCUGGGUAGCUAUGUACGGAAUGGAUAAGCGCUGAAAGCAUCUAAGCGCGAAGCCAACUUCAAGAUAAGAUUUCCCACCGCAAGGGUAAGACCCCAGAAAGACUAUCUGGUUGAUAGGUCGAAGGUGUAAGUGCAGCAAUGUAUUUAGCUUAUCGAUACUAAUAGGUCGAGGACUUGACCAA